CAGAGUAAUCUUAAAGGUGACUGGACAACUCUUGUUUCUAUUUCUCAAAGCAAAGUUUUCUGGAAGUAGGGAUUCAUAAAAGCAAAAAGUGCAAAAACAGGUCCUUGCAGCCAACAUUGUCCAUACUCUGUAAGGUAACUAUCUUCGCUAAUCCCAUUGUUUACCAUAGGCCCAUAUUCCUUCGUGCCCUUCCUAUCCAAGUACAUGUCCAAAUGUUUUUAAAACACUAUAAUUGUACCUGCCUCCUCUGGGAGCUUUGAUUAAGUUUAGUAUAGUUACUGAAAGAUUAAGUUUUACAUUGGGAUAAGGCAAUUUUACUAGGUUGGAUUAUGAUAUGAUAAAAGUGGACUGGAAAAUAGAUAUUUGAAAAUAAAUCAGUGUCAGAGCAGCAGGGGGCACUCAAGAAGGAGAUGAUGAUGUUCCCAGUAAAAGAAAAAGAGGAAUUCUCAAAUGCAAAUUUCCAUGAAGAUACUAAAUAAUACGCGCUAAUAAGGCUAUAAAAAAUGAAAAUUAUAACAAAUAUCAAGAGUUCUAGUCAAAUCCUCUUGAGCAUACAGGAUUGAACGGCAGAAGAAAAUUAGGAAGUAAAAUUGUGCUUGAAAAAUGUUAGCAGCUAAACUCAAGGAAAUCCUUUGGUGUUCUAAAAAUAUGCUAGUGGAACGAUCUUAAUAUAGAUAAUGGUAGAUGUUAUUAGUCCUAUUGGAUACACAGAAAAAUAGUAUGAAAGGAAUUAGUGUAAACCAUGUUAUCACUUUCCAUUCUUCUUCAACUGCACUUAGCUCCAGAGGAAUGGAAGAUACCUCAUGUGGAUCAUUUAUUUAAAAAGUAAAAAGUUGCGACCUAAAUUCUUUGAUGUACAAGUGAAUGCAGGGUGGACACUGAUAUCAGGCGGACAUGCUAUUGUAAGUGGUGGAAAUGUUACUGGAAAAAAGACUUGGGAGUUAAAAUGUCAGUAUUUAGAGAGGAAAAGGUUAGGAUCAGUCACAAAUUUGUUGGAAUGUUUGGGACUAACUGACUUAAUAGAGUUUUUUUUAGAGAGGAGGGGACAAUAAAGGUAGAUCAUUCAAUGUAGCCUGGACGGAUUUUGGACACUUCACAAGCUUCACAUGAUUCAAAGUGCUGGAGUAACUCAGCAAGCCAGUCAACAUAAAUAGGACUUAUCCAGGUAUGCAGCCUGACCCACUGGUAAUUUGUGUCCAAUUUUGGAAAACAGUGUCUGCAGUUCCAUAUUUUUUGACUCAGUAAGCGAACACAAAGGAUAAUUAAUUUGAGUGAUUCCAUGGUUCAGUAUGAGGUGGAAUGCUUUUUGUGAUUUGUGGCCUGAUGGGCGGAAAAUACUCAAUUUGUGCUGUAAACCUCUAUAGCUCAACAUCCUAGCCUGUUCGCUGCCACGAUAGCGGACUAUGUAUUUAAUGGUUCAGUAGUAAUCAUUAUACAUGUGGACAGCAUUAGCUGAGUCAGCAGCCAAUGAUACUAAUGUACUCACAUUCCUAUUGACUCAGCAUUUAUGCCAUGAGCAUUUGUUGAAUCAGCAUGUAUAAAAUCAACUUUCAAUGAGCAGCUGUUUGCUCAUUAACGAGCAUUCACUGGGUCUUCGUUCCCUGACAGUUUUAUCACUGAUUCAUACAAGAUUCAGAAUCAGAAUAGUCUGCAUUCCACAAGAUGGUGUUUCCAGAUAUCAACCUCCCAGAUUCAGCACUCUAAAUAAUUAAAUCUUCAUCUAAAUCAUAUUUUUGACCUUUGUGGGAAUAACAGAUCAAUGGUUAACUUUCCACACUAGUAAAAGAGAUGUCGAGGCUAACUAUCUUGAAAAAGUAGUUGAAAUUUAAACCAAAUUUAAAUGCCAAUAAAUAACCAUAGAUUUUUUGCAAACCUAGUUGCAGUAAUAGUGACAUUGAAACUACAGGAGUGACACUAAAAACCUAUCUUGUUUUGGAAACAAUAUCUUCCAUCCUCAUUUAGCCUGGCUUCAGAUUCUCAGCAAUGUGUUCGACACUUAACUGCUCUCUGAAGUAGUCUUGUAAGGGGACAGGGCAAGUGGGGGGGAGCGCUGCCUGAGUGAAAUUCACACGGUGCAAAGCCAAUGUGAUACAGACACACACCGCGAUGAACAGGAAGGUUGGCGCUGUAAUUAAGAAGCUAAAAAGCACAGUGUAUGAUCAGGACUGUGAUUGGCGCUCAUUCCGUGACUUCCGCUUAGUGGCAAGAUGGCGCCGAUAACGUCAUUUCCGGCAAGAUGGAGCUGAGUGCGUCAUUUCCGGUUCGUGGCAAGAUGGCGCUGACUGCAGAAGGCAUAGUGAAGACGUUGUUGAAUAAUUCAAGAGAGCUGACUGCUCUGUCUAUGCAAAUAGCCAUCAAGAGGCAGUGAGCAGCAGAACACAAGAGACACAACAAGAAAGAACUUAAUAAUUCUCAUCUUUAACAUUUAAAUUGUUCUUAUAUUUUAAGUCAU